rnacentral:precursor_RNA from 1 species
UACCAUAUUGUCUGCAGUUCAGAUUGAUGUAUAAAUUCUGACCGUGAACAAUAUGGUACU